rnacentral:rRNA from 1 species
AACUCCAACCAUAUCGCCCUGAAUUCACUGCGUCUCAUCUGAUCUCAGAAACUAAGCAGGCCUGGUUAGUAUUUGCAUGGGUGACUUCUGCUAUUAUGUGUUAGUUC